GAUGAACGCUGGCGGCGUGCCUAAUACAUGCAAGUCGAGCGAACAGACGAGGAGCUUGCUCCUCUGCCGUUAGCGGCUGACGGGUGAGUAACACGUGGAUAACCUACCUAUAAGACUUGGAUAACUUCGGGAAACCGGUGCUAAUACCGGAUAAUAUAUUGAACCGCAUGGUUCAAUAGUGAAUGACGGCUUUGCUGUCACUUUUAGAUGGAUCCGCGCCGCAUUAGCUAGUUGGUAAGGUAACGGCUUACCAAGGCGACGAUGCGUAGCCGACCUGAGAGGGUAAUCGGCCAAACUGGAAUUGAGACACGGUCCAGACUCCUACGGGAGGAAGCAGUAGGGAAUCUUCCGCAAUGGGGGAAAGCCUAACGGAGCAACGCGGGGUGAGUGAUGAAGGUCUUCGGAUCGUAAAACUCUGUGAUUAGGAAAGAAAAAAUGUGUAAGUAACUAUGCAGGUCUUGACGGUACCUAAUCAGAAAGCCACGGCUAACUACGU
rnacentral:rRNA from 1 species